UACAAGUAGCACUUUGGGCUGUUGUUGCGACCCGGUGAGCUGGUUUGGAGGGUGUCGCAGCUAGUGGUAGCAGGUGGCGACGGCGUGUCUUAUGAUUCUUGGCUGAUGUUUGGAAGCUCUUGGAGGAUCAAAACUUAAGGUUUAAGCAGCUCCAAAGCAGGGAAUUAAGCUACUACACUGCUUAAGUGAAGUAGUAGCUGAUUUUGGAUACUUUACUCGUAGUUGAGGUAGUUUUUGAAACGUUUGCUCGCAGCAGUUUGUGAACCACGUUAAGCCAUUUUGGUAACCUAGAAGGUUGUGUUAGAAGGUGUUCUAACCCGAGCGAGAUUGCAAUCGAGCCUUGGAUCGUCUUCAGUUGGCAUUGGAGAGCAAUUGGAUGCUUAAUUUGAG